ensembl:lncRNA
CUCACCAGCCCCUUCAGGAAUUCCAUAGUCUUUCCUCUCCUUCCAGAUAUAUGGGGUAGGUGGGCAUCCCCUUCCCUUGUGAUCCUCCCUGGCCUGUGCCUUGCAUUGGCCUAUGCAGUGGAAGUGGAAGUAACACCUCACUUCUGAGUGGAAGCUUUAAGAGUCCUCCCAGGCCUUGUCAUUUUUCCCUUCCUUUUUGCCAUUUUGACCAGUAAUGUGGUAGCUACUUUAUCACCCUAAGGCCCAAAGGAUGAAGAAGAUGAGUUAGAUCCCCUAACCAACCUCUGAGGACCUGCAGCGUAAGCAAGAAGAAAAACCUUUGUGGUUUUAAGCCACUGAAAUUUUGAAGUCGUGACCACAGUGUAACUAGCCUGUCCCGCGUGACGGACUUAGAGAACAACAGGAAAGCGGGCCAUCUUCCUGGAGAGGAGAUCUCCCCUCAGCAGAGCUAUGGCAGCAGCUUUCACCUCUGCAUUCCUCAGGCUGUAGAUGAUGGGGUUCAGCGAGGGGGUCACGACCCCAUAGAACAAUGCAAGAAGCUUGUCCAAGUAGAGGUCCUCGGCCUUGGGCUUGAAGUACAUGAAGGAGAUGGUCCCAUAGAAAAUCACCACCACUGUGAGGUGGGCAGAGCAGGUAGAGAAGGCUUUGUGCCGGCCGGCAGCAGAGGGCACCCUCAGGAUGGCAGUGAGGAUGAACACAUAGGACAGGAAGAUGAGCAGCAGUGGGGCCAGAGUCAGGACAGCUGCAGACACCACUGUUAGCAG